rnacentral:rRNA from 1 species
UACGGAGGUUGCAAGCGUUGUUCGGAAUUACUGGGCGUAAAGCGUGUCUAGGCGGAGAUGUGUGUCAGGUGUGAAAGACCCGGGCUUAACCCGGGAAUUGCGCCUGAAACUGCAUUUCUUGAAUCAUGAAGAGGUGGGCGGAAUUCCUAGUGUAGCAGUGGAAUGCGUAGAUAUUAGGAAGAACACCAGAAGCGAAGGCGGCUCACUGGUCAUGUAUUGACGCUAAAGCACGAAAGCGUGGGUAGCAAACAGG